UGCCCCUUGGCCCAGUUGGUGAAGGCGCACGACUGUUAUACCAAGUGCAAAUUUUCGCAUUCAUCGUGAGAUCGGAAGUUCGAACCUUGCAGGGGCAG